UUCAAAGCAAGUCCUUUCAUUGCCAGUUCACUCGAUUACAUGUAGCCCGUGUGCACAGGUGUUUACGGCCCUCUGUCCACGCGCCCGGCGAUGAGGGGGUGCAAGGACACGGGCAGGAUUUAUUGAGUGCUGCUUGUGUCCCCACCACUAUGUACAUAGCCAUCUUCUUGCUUUACCUUCAAACGCAGUGUCUCAUGUGCGUCUUACAGCAGUGCUAUGAAGUGAGCAGUAUUAUUUCCCCACCAUAGAGCUAAUGCAGUGAGGCACUGAGAGAUAUGGAAGACCAGUGUAUCCUACUGGGCACAGAUGAAAAAACACCCCGACUCCAGCUCUACAGUGAAGCCAUAGUCUCAGUCCGUGACCUUUAUAGCAGCUGAUAGUUUUCUGUACGUGCAAGCAUAGGAGGUGCUGGCCAGGUGGAAGGCAUUUCCAGUGGUGAGCUGAACCACGGUGUUCAGAUACCAGACAAAACAGCGGAUACUUUCCAGAAGUGUCAUGUAGCUGACGUAUGGGAAGCAUGACAAGAAAUCUGGACUCUCCACUUCCAUAGUGAAGUGCCUGUCCUUGAAUCUCCACCUACGGAAGUGGUAAAGGUUGUCAUGAUCCAGGAGAAAUGGUUUAUCCUGGAAAUAUGACUUUUUCUCUCCUCAUGUAUAAAACGUAG